CAAGGUUUGGACCCGGGCCCGGUGACAUAGGUUUGGGGCGUGGACUCCACUCCUCUCGGACCAAUCAGAGUUCACGGGGAGACUUUGUAAACAACUCUUCCACGUUGGUUUUGAAGAUCGUUUUUGGUUCCGAACUACGGAGGGACGUCGCGGUGCUGCGCUGCAGUGAGUCCGAAUCGCCAGAACCAGGACCCUCUGCCACACUCGGAGGUCUCUUCAUCCAGGGACUCUUAAAAGACAGCAGCCAAGAGCCACAGGGGAGAAGAAAAAUGAAAUGCUGUGUUUUCUGUUUGUGUGACCAUGGAUGUGGACCACUGAGGGACGGGGAUGAGUAACAGGAGUAACACUGAACUGAACCGGUGACUACCUGGAGGUUACCCAGGCUGGCCCCGGUGGCUUCGUUCAAA